GACGAACGCUGGCGGCGUGCUUAACACAUGCAAGUCGUACGGAAAGGCCCUGCUUGCAGGGUACUCGAGUGGCGAACGGGUGAGUAACACGUGGGUGAUCUGCCCUGCACUUCGGGAUAAGCCUGGGAAACUGGGUCUAAUACCGGAUAGGAGCCAUUUUUAGUGUGAUGGUUGGAAAGUUUUUUCGGUGUAGGAUGAGCUCGCGGCCUAUCAGCUUGUUGGUGGGGUAAUGGCCUACCAAGGCGGCGACGGGUAGCCGGCCUGAGAGGGUGGACGGCCACAUUGGGACUGAGAUACGGCCCAGACUCCUACGGGAGGCAGCAGUGGGGAAUAUUGCACAAUGGGCGCAAGCCUGAUGCAGCGACGCCGCGUGGGGGAUGACGGCCUUCGGGUUGUAAACUCCUUUCGCUAGGGACGAAGCUUUUUGUGACGGUACCUAGAUAAGAAGCACCGGCUAACUACGU
rnacentral:rRNA from 1 species